rnacentral:rRNA from 1 species
AAUAUUGCACAAUGGAGGAAACUCUGAUGCAGCGACGCCGCGUGAACGAUGAAGGCCUUCGGGUCGUAAAGUUCUGUCCUUGGGGACGAUAAUGACGGUACCCAAGGAGGAAGCCCCGGCUAACUAUGUGCCAGCAGCCGCGGUAAUACAUAGGGGGCGAGCGUUAUCCGGAGUUAUUGGGCGUAAAGCGUGCGUAGGCGGCUUAUUAAGUCUGACGUGAAAUCCCACAGCUUAACUGUGGAGGGUCGUUGGAAACUGGUAGGCUUGAGUACAGUAGAGGUAAGUGGAAUUCCAAGUGGAGCGGUGGAAUGCGUAGAUAUUUGGAGGAACACCAGUGGCGAAGGCGGCUUACUGGGCUGGAACUGACGCUGAUGCACGAAAGCGUGGGGAGCAAAC